rnacentral:rRNA from 1 species
CCUACGGGGUGCAGCAGUCGAGAAUCAUUCACAAUGGGGGAAACCCUGAUGGUGCGACGCCGCGUGGGGGAAUGAAGGUCUUCGGAUUGUAAACCCCUGUCAUGUGGGAGCAAAUUAAAAAGAUAGUACCCCAAGAGGAAGAGACGGCUAACUCUGUGCCAGCAGCCGCGGUAAUACAGAGGUCUCAAGCGUUGUUCGGAAUCACUGGGCGUAAAGCGUGCGUAGGCUGUUUCGUAAGUCGUGUGUGAAAGGCGCGGGCUCAACCCGCGGACGGCACAUGAUACUGCGAGACUAGAGUAAUGGAGGGGGAACCGGAAUUCUCGGUGUAGCAGUGAAAUGCGUAGAUAUCGAGAGGAACACUCGUGGCGAAGGCGGGUUCCUGGACAUUAACUGACGCUGAGGCACGAAGGCCAGGGGAGCGAAAGGGAUUAGAUACCCCUGUAGUC